rnacentral:rRNA from 1 species
CACGAACGCUGGCGGCAGGCUUAACACAUGCAAGUCGAGCGCCCCGCAAGGGGAGCGGCAGACGGGUGAGUAACGCGUGGGAAUCUACCCAUCUCUACGGAAUAACGCAUGGAAACGUGUGCUAAUACCGUAUACGUCCUUCGGGAGUAAGAUUUAUCGGGGAUGGAUGAGCCCGCGUUGGAUUAGCUAGUUGGUGGGGUAAAGGCCUACCAAGGCGACGAUCCAUAGCUGGUCUGAGAGGAUGAUCAGCCACACUGGGACUGAGACACGGCCCAGACUCCUACGGGAGGCAGCAGUGGGGAAUAUUGGACAAUGGGCGCAAGCCUGAUCCAGCCAUGCCGCGUGAGUGAUGAAGGCCCUAGGGUUGUAAAGCUCUUUCACCGGUGAAGAUAUUGACGGUAACCGGAGAAGAAGCCCCGGCUAACUUCGUGCCAGCCGCCGCGGUAACAC